rnacentral:rRNA from 1 species
UCAGGCCUAACACAUGCAAGUCGAGCGAGACCUUCGGGUCUAGCGGCGGACGGGUGAGUAACGCGUGGGAACGUGCCCUUUGCUUCGGAAUAGCCCCGGGAAACUGGGAGUAAUACCGGAUGAGCCCUACGGGGGAAAGAUUUAUCGGCGAAGGAUCGGCCCGCGUUGGAUUAGGUAGUUGGUGGGGUAAUGGCCUACCAAGCCGACGAUCCAUAGCUGGUUUGAGAGGAUGAUCAGCCACACUGGGACUGAGACACGGCCCAGACUCCUACGGGAGGCAGCAGUGGGGAAUCUUAGACAAUGGGGGAAACCCUGAUCUAGCCAUGCCGCGUGAGCGAUGAAGGCCUUAGGGUUGUAAAGCUCUUCAGCUGGAAGAUAAUG